rnacentral:rRNA from 1 species
UGAAUACGAGACGCUAAGGCGUUGAAGUAGUGUAUGUCAUACUUCCAAGAAAAGCUUGCACUGUCAUAGAUAAAAAACGCCUGUACCAUAACCGACACAGGUGCGUAGGUAGAGUAUACUAAGGGGCGCGAGAUAACUCUCUCUAAGGAACUCGGCAAAAUAACUCCGUAACUUCGGGAGAAGGAGUGCCUUAUUUAUAAGGCUGCAAUAACAAGAUCCAAGCAACUGUUUAUCAAAAACACAGGUCUCCGCUAAGUCGUAAGACGAUGUAUGGGGGCUGACGCCUGCCCAGUGCCAGAAGGUUAAAGAAGUUGGUUAGCAAUAGCGAAGCUGAUAACUGAAGCCCUGGUGAACGGCGGCCGUAACUAUAACGGUCCUAAGGUAGCGAAAUUCCUUGUCGGGUAAGUUCCGACCCGCACGAAAGGCGUAAUGAUUUGGAUACUGUCUCGGAGAGGGGCUCGGUGAAAUAGACUUGUCUGUGAAGAUGCGGACUACCUGCACCAGGACAGAAAGACCCUAUGAAGCUUUACUGUAACUUGAAAUUGAAAUUGGACUUUAUUCGCGCAGUAUAGGUGGGAGGCGUUGAUUGUAAUCUUGCGGGAUUAUUGGAGCCAUCAGUGAGAUACCACCCUUGUAAUGUUAGAUUUCUAACUUUGAAUCAUUAUCUGGUCAAAGAACAGUUUCAGGCGGGCAGUUUGACUGGGGCGGUCGCCUCCUAAACGGUAACGGAGGCGUACAAAGGUUUCCUCUGAACGGUUAGAAAUCGUAUCUAGAGUGUAAAGGCAUAAGGAAGCUUGACUGUGAGACCUACAAGUCGAGCAGGGACGAAAGUCGGUCUUAGUGAUCUGACGGUACUGAGUGGAAAGGCCGUCACUCAACGGAUAAAAGUUACUCUAAGGAUAACAGGCUGAUCUCCCCCAAGAGUUCACAUCGACGGGGAGGUUUGGCACCUCGAUGUCGGCUCAUCGCAUCCUGGGGCGGUAGUACGUCCCAAGGGUUGGGCUGUUCGCCCAUGAAAGCGGUACGCGAGCUGGGUUCAGAACGUCGUGAGACAGUUCGGUCCAUAUCCGGUGUAGGCGUUAGAAUAUUGAGAGGAGCCUUCUUUAGUACGAGAGGACCGAGAAGGACAUACCUCUGGUGUACCAGUUAUCGUGCCAACGGUAAACGCUGGGUAGCUAUGUAUGGAGUGGAUAACCGCUGAAAGCAUCUAAGUGGGAAGCCCACCUCAAGAUAAG